UCCGGAAUUAUUGGGCGUAAAGCGCGCGCMGGCGGUUUCUUAAGUCUGAUGUGAAAGCCCCCGGCUCMACCGGGGAGGGUCAUUGGAAACUGGGGAACUUGAGUGCAGAAGAGGAGAGUGGAAUUCCACGUGUAGCGGUGAAAUGCGUAGAGAUGUGGAGGAACACCAGUGGCGAAGGCGACUCUCUGGUYUGUAACUGACGSUGAGGCGCGAAAGCGUGGGGAGCGAACAGGAUUAGAUACCCUGGUAGUYCACGCCGUAAACGAUGAGUGCUAAGUGUUWGAGGGUUUCCGCCCUUUAGUGCUGCAGCMAACGCAUUAAGCACUCCSCCYGGGGAGUACGGUCGCAAGACUGAAACUCAAAGGAAUUGACGGGGGCCCGCMCMAGCGGUGGAGCAUGUGGUUUAAUUYGAAGCAACGCGAAGAACCUUACCAGGUCUUGACAUCCUYUGACAACCCUAGAGAUAGGGSUUCCCCUUCGGGGGCAGAGUGACAGGUGGUGCAUGGUUGUCGUCAGCUCGUGUCGUGAGAUGUUGGGUUAAGUCCCGCAACGAGCGCAACCCUUGAUCUUAGUUGCCAGCAUUCAGUUGGGCACUCUAAGGUGACUGCCGGUGACAAACCGGAGGAAGGUGGGGAUGACGUCAAAUCAUCAUGCCCCUUAUGACCUGGGCUACACACGUGCUACAAUGGGCAGAACAAAGGGCAGCGAAGCCGCGAGGCUAAGCCAAUCCCACAAAUCUGUUCUCAGUUCGGAUCGCAGUCUGCAACUCGACUGCGUGAAGCUGGAAUCGCUAGUAAUCGCGGAUCAGCAUGCCGCGGUGAAUACGUUCCCGGGCCUUGUACACACCGCCCGUCACACCACGAGAGUUUGUAACACCCGAAGUCGGUGAGGUAACCUUUGGAGCC
rnacentral:rRNA from 1 species